UGAUAUCAUCACCCAGCACCGC
rnacentral:miRNA from 1 species